rnacentral:rRNA from 1 species
UACGUAGGGGGCUUGCGUUGUCCGGAAUCAUUGGGCGUAAAGCGCGUGUAGGCGGCCCGGUAAGUCCGCUGUGAAAGUCGGGGGCUCAACCCUCGAAUGCCGGUGGAUACUGUCGGGCUCGAGUGCGGAAGAGGCGAGUGGAAUUCCUGGUGUAGCGGUGAAAUGCGCAGAUAUCAGGAGGAACACCAAUUGCGAAGGCAGCUCGCUGGGACGUUACUGACGCUGAGACGCGAAAGCGUGGGGAGCAAACAGG